rfam:Tupaia chinensis contig190569, whole genome shotgun sequence.
GUGCUCGCUUUAACAGCACAUAUACUAAAACUGGAACAAUACAGGGAAGAUUAGCAUGGCUGCUGCACAAAGAUGACAUGCAAAUUCAUGAAGAGUUCCAUAUUUUC